CAAUAGCGUAUAUUAAAGUUGUUGCAGUUAGAACGCUCGUAGUCGGAUUUCGGGGCGGGCCGACCGGUCUGCCGAUGGGUACGCACUGGUCGGCGCGUCCUUCCUUCCGGAGACCGUUCCUACUCUUAACUGAGCGGGGGCGGGAGACGGAUCGUUUACUUUGAAAAAAUCAGAGUGUUUCAAGCAGGCGGCUCGCUCUUGCAUGGAUUAGCAUGGGAUAAUGAAAUAGGACUUUGGUGCUAUUUUGUUGGUUUCGAACACCGAAGUAAUGAUUAAAAGGGACAGUCAGGGGCACUCGUAUUCCGCCGAGAGAGGUGAAAUUCUCAGACCAGCGGAAGACGAACUACUGCGAAAGCAUUUGCCAGGGAUGUUUUCACUGA
rnacentral:rRNA from 1 species